rnacentral:rRNA from 1 species
CCUACGGGAGGCAGCAGUAGGGAAUCUUUCCGCAAUGGACGAAAGUCUGACGGAGCAACGCCCGCGUGAACGAAGAAGGCCUUCGGGUCGUAAAGUUCUGUUGUUAGGGAAGAACAAGUACCAGAGUAACUGCUGGUACCUUGACGGUACCUAACCAGAAAGCCACGGCUAACUACGUGCCAGCAGCCGCGGUAAUACGUAGGUGGCAAGCGUUGUCCCGGAAUUAUUGGGCGUAAAGCGCGCGCAGGUGGUUCCUUAAGUCUGAUGUGAAGCCCACGGCUCACCGUGGAGGGUCAUUGGAACUGGGGAACUUGAGUGCAGAAGAGAAAGUGGAAUUCCAAGUGUAGCGGUGAAUGCGUAGAGAUUUGGAGGACACCAGUGCCGAAGGCGACUUUCUGGUCUGUAACUGACACUGAGUCGCGAAAGCGUGGGAGCAAACAGGAUUAGAUACCCUGGUAGUCCACGCCGUAAACGAUGAGUGCUAAGUGUUAGAGGGUUUCCGCCCUUUAGUGCUGCAGCUAACGCAUUAAGCACUCCGCCUGGGGAGUACGGCCGCAAGGCUGAAACUCAAAGGAAUUGACGGGGGCCCGCACAAGCGGUGGAGCAUGUGGUUUAAUUCGAAGCAACGCGAAGAACCUUAC